AAGUCGUAACAAGGUUUCCGUAGGUGAACCUGCGGAAGGAUCAUUAGCGAAGAAGGAUGCGCCCGCGUGGCGUAAUUCUCCAUCACCAUGUGAACUUGGAUUUUAUUGAUGCGAGGUCGGGCGCGAGUCUUUAACCGGGCUCGCGACCGCUCUCGUACAAAACCGUUGACAAACCGCCAAACCGAAUAACUAGAUCGUAACGACGAAACCAAACACACAACUUUUAACAACGGAUCUCUUGGCUCUC
rnacentral:misc_RNA from 1 species